UGAUAGGCUGUAGAUCCUCCCUAGAUAGGGAGAAAGAGGCUGACUGUGAUGUCUACGAGUGUCAGUGUCUGAGCUUCUUCGAGAGGCGGCGGAUCGGCUUGGAGGAUUAGAGUACUGUAAUCAAGAAAGUUCACAAGUUCAUUUUAACUUUGUUUCCAAAGUUGAGAGACGCGGACGGGUUCGAGCUGCUGAAAAUGUCUGGAACUACACAGAGCUGUCAUCUUAUACCUGUCCCAUGCCCCAAUCAGGGCUACAGUAUGAGAUAUCUGAAGACCCUUGUGUCGUGCUACUCUGUACAUUCGCCCGCUGUAAAGGAAUUUGAGUAUGGAGCAUGAACUGAAUGAUUCAGUUGUUGUUCAAAGUGGAACCCUGACACAAUGUCUAAACUGUGAAGAACAACUUCCCUUUGCACAAAUAAGAAGACACAGUGAAGCCUGCUCAAGGUAAUGCUCUGAAUGGGAAAUGAAUCAUGGAGAUGUUGGGAAAAUAGGAUAUUCUCCAUUUAUGGAAGGUGCACUCAUCAUUACAAAUUAUGGUAUGGCCAUGUUGCACGUCAAUAACAGAACUCUUAAGUAGUUUCAUCAUUUGUUAGUUUAGAUGUGGAAUAGGAACAAUUUAAUUGAGCAGUUAUGGGUGUUCAUUUCUUGGUUCAUUGUUGCUGUACAUUUCUUUAUGAUAAAGACAAUAAUUACAACAAUCCACUUCACUAUCAGGCUGGGAGCUGUUGUGAAAAUGUUCUGUUUAGUAUCUGAUAUAACUAUCUCCUCGGCUCGACUCUUCAAGUCAACCACAGGUUGAAAGGGCAGGAGAGAAUGAAAGGGAGAAUGAAGGUGCAGCUGUCCCUAGAGCCAGUGGGACUAGUGCCUCCACCGGUCAGCAUCCAGCUGUAGAUUUGGUAAUGGAGGAGAAUGAAGGUGCAGCUGUCCCUAGAGCCAGUGGGACUAGUGCCUCCACCGGUCAGCAUCCAGCUGUAGAUUUACUAAUGGAGGAGAAUGAAGGUGCAGCUGUCCCUAGAGCCAGUGGGACUAGUGCCUCCACCGGUCAGCAUCCAGCUGUAGAUUUACUAAUGGAGGAAAAUGAAGGUGCAGCUGUCCCUAGAGCCAGUGGGACUAGUGCCUCCACCGGUCAGCAUCCAGCUGUAGAUUUGGUAAUGGAGGAGAAUGAAGGUGCAGCUGUCCCUAGAGCCAGUGGGACUAGUGCCUCCACCGG
rnacentral:lncRNA from 1 species